rnacentral:rRNA from 1 species
UACGGGGGGGGCAAGCGUUGUUCGGAAUUACUGGGCGUAAAGCGCGUGUAGGCUGCUUGGAAAGUCGGAUGUGAAAGCCCUGGGCUCAACCUAGGAAGUGCAUUCGAAACUUCUGAGCUUGAGUGUCGGAGAGGAAGGCGGAAUUCUCGGUGUAGAGGUGAAAUUCGUAGAUAUCGAGAGGAACACCUGUGGCGAAGGCGGCCUUCUGGACGACAACUGACGCUGAGACGCGAAAGCGUGGGGAGCAAACAGG